UCUCUGGGGCGGGAGAGGUCGGACUAGGUAUGACCUAAUCGGGCCUCUCCAGACCUGGGACAGCGGGGGUCAAUUAAGAUAGGAAAAGGGUUGAUAGAAGAACAGAUCAGAGAGUGCAUUCUUUGGAAAACCCUCCCGGAGACUGAAUAUUUCUUACUUCUCCCCCUUCGAAGGUUAACGCCUGCAGGGCCGGAUCUUGUCCCCGCAUUUCCUCCGUAGCCCCCGAAGGCAGAGGGGCCACUCGAUAAAAGCUGUCUGAUCCCUCCUCACGGGGCAAGGUUGGGGACCACCAGCCGGAGGCUGAAGCGGACAGACCCAGUUCUGCUUGGGAGCAUGAGGGGUCCAACCUCCCGCCGCUCCCACCGAAGGCCCUUCCGCAGCUGCUGACGAGAAGCAGAACCGAAGCGUACUUGACAUUUUUAUCAUGGCCUGUGCAAUUUGUCAUUUAUGCUGUUUUGUAUUUCACGGCUAUCUUACGUUCUGCUUAUCCCCGCUGCUAUGCAAAUCAGGAAGGAUCAAGCAGAACAGAUGCCGGCUAUCGCCCCACUCACCCAACGUUCCGGAAAUGAU